CCGGAGGAAAACAAGCAGUCAUCUGUAAUCAUAUGGCUAAUGAGGGAUAUUGAUUAAUGAGGCAGAGGGAGGCAGGGCCAGGCACAGCCCGAACGGGGCAGAAAGGGGCUGAGCACAGACCCUUAGGGGUGUUUGGUGAGGUGGGAGACUGCAAUGUGAGACAAGGGGAGAGGACAUUCCAGGAGAUACUGCCAGCCCCUGUAUUUGAGGAAUCAAGCUGAGAAGGCAGUGAGAAGGAGGGUUAGGAUCUGAAGCUUCUUAACCCUAUGGGAAGACAACCGUGCAGCUUGAUGGUGUGCUGAUAGUUGUGGUGGGCUCGAUCCAUUGUGAACCCGGACUGACACCCAGCAGCAUGUGGGUGAGGAACAGAUAAAAAGCAGUGUGCCUCCUGGCCCUCCUCUUUCUCUUUCCCCUCAUUAUAAAUUUUUAAGGUUGAUUUGGCCUGUUAUUCAGCCACAACUUCCCCUGGAGAAGCUUCCUACAGCCACCUUGCGGCAGGAGCCAUCCUGCUCUCCUUUGAUGUGUCGGUCUGCUCCCCGGAGCUGAGUCUUCCUGGUGCUCUCUGGUCUGGAGAGCUCAAUUCACCACCAGCUUCAUGCACCCUGCUUUUCCCCUCAGUCACAGUGCUCUUGUUCCCACUAAAAUCAAUGGCAUGGCAACUGUGUGAGCGAGGGGAGAAUUUGAUAUUACAAGGAAUAACAAAUCACAGGCAUAUCAAGUGUGCCCUGAUAUCCAAGGGCACUGAGCGGCAAGGACCAAGGAGAUCCCUUGCUCACUCUCUCUCCCUCUGCCUGUCUCUGAGGAUCAGUAUUCUCCUUCCAGAGACCUGUAGGGGUCACAGUUGGAUUGUACAACAGGCUGUGAGCAUGUCCUUGGGAAAGGAAACCAUUUCUGCUGAAGUAUCGACCAGAAAGCCAGUAGGAGGCCAAGUGCCCUCUGCCCACAGGCCACUGCCUCAAACCCCUCUCAGAAGUGGGCUCCAACCCGUCCUCUGCCUCUUUCUGCCACUAAGGCCCAGAUGUCUCCCAUGGGAUGUAUUUCUUAGCUUCAACAUAGUGAAACCAAACGUGUUCCAGGCUGGAAAGAGCCACUCUCAAGUCCACGCACAGGAGGGUGUGAGGAACCAAUACUUUACUGGGACAGUUCUAUAAUGGAGAGGGAAGAGGAGAGGUGAUGCUUUAGAUAACAUGAUUUAUACCUGCACAGUGCUAUCAAGGGAAGGGAGAGGGACCUAAUUAGUAACUUGGAACCUAAUUAAAGAGGCUCAAGUGAAGACUUCUGUCUGUGUCCAGGUUUCUUGUUCGUGUGAGUAUUGGUGGACCAUCAAGGUUGGUGCGAAGCGGCUUUGCUUCCUGUUUGUCUAACCUGAUCUUACUUAAAACCAGGUAGUAUAAACCUCAAAAAUCAAAAUCCAGGUGGUGGAAUUUGAAGAACUUCAGGAUAUGGGCAGACCUCCACUGAAGUGAAAUGGAUGUGGCAGCUCUUGAAACCCUGACCUGGUUUCCUCUGGGAUCAUUACUUGUCUCUGCAGUUCCCUCAUGGGGCUGUGCACAUCCAUCUUAUCCUCCAAAUUCAGAACCUCCCAUAACAGAGAAGUCACAGGACAUGUGCAAGACCAGGCAGCAGUGUGCUAGAGGUAUGGCCUGUGCCUGGACAGAUUCCUAAUCCCCACGUGAAAGCAGGUGCCUCAGCAGGGGUUUUCUGGCAUGAUUGCACCAGUCUGGUCCUUCUUCCUUCCACUGGGUAGCAGAAAGUCUUCUUCAGGUGAGCCUGACCCAGUCUCCAUCAUAAGGAGCAGCCCAGAAACAGCAUCACUUGUCUUCAUUCUCCAAGGUCCUUGUGGACACACACCCACAAGAACUCUCCAGUCACUGUUAGAGAUCCCUUCCCAUGCCUGCACUGCACCACAAAUUAGGAUCUGGCCAUGACGCUCACAAGGAUGGACCCGUUCCACUGUGCAAUAAUUAAAUUGCCUGUAAUUAUGUUCUUGACAAGUGAAAUACAGGCAGUAAAUGAUCCUAACAUUCUUUGCUCCCUCCUUCUUCCCAAGACUCCCCCAGCUGCCCCUCCCCUCUAAAUGCUGAAUUAUUUUACAGUUGAUAGUUCCUUAGAUUUGCCGACCUUUAAAAGCUGAACACUACAUGCCUGUUGAAUUUUAAUCAAUUUAUUUUUUUCAACUGGAAAUGUCAGACUUCUGUACGGAAUUACUUGGUGCUGGCUGAUGUGACAAAGACUCAAAGUUCAGCAUCUGAAGCCGCGGAGGAGCAGAGAGUUGCGUGCAUUAGCACAGAUAAUUUGCAGGAUGUGAAAAUGAGAGCAGGAGUGAGGGAGCAUAUAUUUUUCAUUAGCUUUGGUUUAGAGGGUUCGGGGACCUGCAUUUAUUUCAUCCAGUGAACUCUGGCCUCAUUAAAUCCAGACCGUGGCUGGUAAUGACUGGAAGUAAGAAGCUGUGGAGGCCACUAAAGGGCAGGAGGCAAAGUGAGUUCUUUGCUGGAGCACGGAGAGAACCUCCGUGUAUGCGGUGACGGGGGGGAGCACCAACCUCUGCUGUGUCUGCUCCAUGGUACCGAGCACAAGAAGGUGCCAGUUGCCCCAGCCAUCCACCAUCCUGCACUGGUGCAGUUCAUUAAGGCACGUUAUACCACCUGCUUCACGCUGCUCCAGAAGACCUGAAGAGCCCAGCAAAACUUCCACUUGCAGUGUAGCUUUCCCAGCCCAACUGAGAGGUUGAUUAAACUUCGCAGUAGCGUUGAGCUUGGCCGGCAUUGCCCAGAAGGAUUAAGCAUUCCCCAACUGGAGCAAAGCCCAUCCAGAAAGAUGGGAAGAGGUUUACUUGCAAACACAGACCUGCAGACUGAUUCCUGCUGGGGAAGCCCGUGGCCGUGAGCACACACCAGGGAGGAACCCUGCUGUCCUUACAGGGAUUUGCUGGCCUUCACUGUGACUUUGGCAUCAUAUUUGUGAGCAGUGGCUACAGCCAGGGCAAUGCUGGGAGCUACCCUGCCUCCUUUCUGAGCAGGAAUUUCUCUGUGGUCAGCGGCUAGGUAGCUCCACAUUAGUCCUGUCCUGCAUCACCUUCCCUACUCUGAGUCGUUUGAAGCAAAAGUUAUCAUCUUCUGUUUUUCUUGUAUCAGCGGCCUCUGGUGUUUCCCUGUAGUGCUGUAGUCUGUUCUAAUCCUGGGCCGUGACAGCCUACAAACAAGUUUCUGUCCUAUUAAAAUUUAAUUCCUUCUUUGGAAUAGAGACUUCUCAUCGCACAGAACCAGAUGGAUAAAUGUUUGCUAAGGUGACAAGG